ACUGGCCAGUGGACACCUGUCUGUGGCCAAAUGUCCCUCGCCUCCCUUCAUGGUUCUGUCGUCAGGAACAGUCUCAGCCUAAAUGAAUAAGGUACUUGAAAUUCUAGGCUGGGCACAGUGACUCACACCUGUAAUCUCAGCACUCUGGGAGGCCAAGGCAGGUGGACUGCCUGAGAUCAGAGUUGGAGACCAGCCCGAGCAAAAGCGAGGACACAUCCAGGGGCAGCUGCAAGAAUUUCUCCCCAACCCCCUUGGAGGCUCUUCCAAGACACCAUUCCAGCCUGCCUGCUCCCCAGUGUGGCUACUGUCACCUCCUCGGGGAUGGAGGGAUGGAGGUGAUACACUGUGUCCCGUUUCUUAGCUGAUGCAGCGCUGUUUAUGGAGCAGGUUCCCGGAGAGACACACACGCUCUGAAGCCAGGUAGCCAGAAAAAUCCACAGAGGACACCUCUAUGCUUCCACUGUGGGUCUACUGGAGUAAAAGGCUGUGAACGCUCUCCAUGUGGGUCCCCCUGGGUCCCCUCUCGCUGCUGCGGGCAGGUCUCCGCACUCUGACAGCAGAGGGCAUCCGUGAGCCUAUUCCUGCCAGCCAGUCCCAGGGCUGCCAGAUGUCCUCCGGAAAAUCCAGGAUGGCUCAUGCCAUCACCACCGUCUUCCGAACAGAUGGUGGGAACAAAGCCGGCACAGGACAGAAGGAAAGCACAGCUUCAGGCCCCUGUGUAGAGGGCCACGGUCCAUCCACUGCGGGAGUCCCCUGCUGCCCUCCCCCAAGUGAGUACCCCAGCGCCUCCCAGUUACAAGUUGUCCCAGGAAGCAGACUGGACACAAGGACACACAUGUUCUUCUGCGCAACUGGACCUUCCUUUGCCCCUGACUUUAUGUACAAUGUAGAUUGCCGGGCUUCACAGGAAUGUCCCUUGCCCCCUCCUCCUGCCUUUUUCUGUUCUCUCUGUUGCCUUUAAAAUGCUCCAGGUCUGAGCCUCCCCUUUGGAAAAAUGGCCACAGCUUGCCUGGGGGCCAUGUUUUUCCCUGGCACAUCCUCAGCAUCUUGGCUUUAA